GCAGACCCCACGGGCACUUCCAGGGUCACACUUCUGUUCCGCAAAGGCAGCUAUGGCUACAGAUCGUGAUCGUCAAUCGCCCCAGCCCUGGGGGCCACCCUGCCCGCCGGGUCUCCCAGCACAGGGCCGCUGCUGGCUCCUAACUUGCCAUCCAGUUGGGGGUGACAUUGUCGCUUGGCUGUGACCGAGGCACUGUGGUCACAAUGAAGCGGAAAGCGGCCGUCUUCUCAUCCCUGCCCCCCGGAAGCAGUCAGCUGGGGGUUGGCAUUCACAGCACGCUUGGUGACCAGGAUGCCAGCCUGCUGGGCCGCAGAGAUGGGUUCUUCCGGAGCACGGAAACGGGCUCGGUUCCCGAUGCACUUGUCUCUCUUCUCCCCUUGAACCUGCGUGCUUCCUCACCCCGAGCAGAGGAGAGAACAUGAGAAUCGUCCGACGCUAAAGGCACUCAGAAUAAAUGAUUACAUUUACGAGAACAGGAACUCCUCUGUGAACACAUUCCCUCAACAUCAGCAUCACCACUGAACUGUUACUUGGAUUCAGCCCAUCUGAAAGAUGGUAAACGACUUAGAACGACCUCACUCCAUAAAAAAAACGCCAUCACCGAUCCCUAGAAAUUAACAACAGUUCUGUUAAUCAAGGAUUUCGUCUCCACAUUCAACCAAGGCCAAAUUAGGAAGGCUGUGACGCGAAGGCGCACAAAAACAUCGGUUGAGCAAAGUCAAAAUUAACGACAAACAAAAUCAAGUUUCCUUUGUGGCUGAUUUUCAGGCAGCUGCAUGUAAAUAUAAAAGAACCAUCAAAGAAAGAUACCCAUUAAUUAUUAACUCAGAGCAACUUCAGAAAGCAGAGCCCUUAAACCUCCAUUGACAUCAUUCUGCCAGUCUCCUAAUCUCUGCAAGUUGUUGGUAAGAGUUGCAUUAAACACAGCACGCUACCAAACCCGCCUUUAACAAUUGCGGCUCCAGAGCCGUGCACUGCGGCCUGGAGACCACACGAGAGAAACUAUACUUUCUGUAAAGACAUCUUUAAGAAACAUUUACAAUCGCACGUUCUGAAUAAUCUCCUGGGUGACUUUACCUCUCUCAACCGCACAAUAGGGUGUCAAUAGCCUACUGGCAACAUGCACGAUGAAGAAACUCCUCCAUUUGUCCCCCCUGCGGACGUAGGAGACCACUGUCAUGAUUAAAACGCCGUGCCACCCUGUAGUUUAAUGCAGUGACAUGUAUAGAUCGGGCCCGGGCUUUUUCACUGCGGAAUAGAAGAAAGGCUCUAGUAUAAGGGACGUUGGAAAGUGUGGACGUAUAUAGGGCUGUUAUGUCCCUGGGCAAAUAAUUUCGGUCGUGAAGUAUUAUUGUGAAGGUUUGUAGUUUUUUUUCAUUGAAAUUAAGUACUUUUCAAUUGCAAGUUGAUUGCAAGCAUCAAAUGGAAUGCAAUCUCUGCGAAAACAGCCUUUAGAAAACCUAUGCUAAUAUUCACGAUUGUGAGUCUAGAUUUCUACGCUGGACUUGGAACAGCCUGGGACCAAAAUACAGAGAAACAAGAUUUUUUUUCAGUCACUUUGAAUUUUUCUUUCUUUCUUUUCUUUUUCUUUUUUUUUUUCUUUCUUUUUUCCUAAUCGAAGGAGAGCUGACACACAAAGUUUACAGUUGUUUCAGGUGUACAACAGAGUGAUUCAACAAGUCUCUACCUCAUGCUAGACGUUUUGAGUUUUUAUAAUUUGGCAUCAUCACGGUGGCCUUACUGUUUUGCUUUAAAGUACAGAGAGACAAAACUCUCCUGUAGUAUGUUUCCGACACGAAUAUCAACAUGCUUUGAGAGAAGAUGGCUCGAAAAAUAUCUUAAAAUGGAAGUAAAAAUGAAUGCAUACAUAUAUGAAUCGUCCAUACUUGUGAUUUUCAAGAAUGCUUUUCGCAGGUAUGUCUCCAUGGAAAGGGGACCACUGUGCCUGUAGCAGGAGGGACAUAAUUUUCAGAUUCGAUGAGUGAGACCCUUCUUCUGCAUCUUUUUCUCACUCCCUCUGUCUUCUAAAAACUUAUCAGGGUACAGACAAGCAUCAUCUAAUCAAAAUAAGCAUCGAAAACCACCACAUUUGAAAAACAGUAUAAAAGCGAUCAGCAGUACUGAGAACAGAUGACAAACAUUAGAUCAAGCUGAUCUGUCAUAAACCUCCCAACCUUCCGGCUAUAAUCCAGCUGACCACCUGCAAAUUCUUCAGAUCGUCCCUUCACAUCAACAGCACUCGAAUUGCUACAAAUCAAAAUGUUAACUUUUUAGACCAUUGCGAAAAGAACAGGAUGAGGAAAAGUGUGCAUCUCUGUGAUGAUUCACAUUUAAAGGUUUUAUCUCUUUACUCUAUUUGAUUAAAGGCCUUGUAUUGAGUUAAGCAGCAAAUCCUGAAUAAUUAGUGGCUGCUGGGAUUUUUUUUUUGCCCCCCCCGCCCCCCCCCUUUUUAAAAUGAAAGCUUAAAUGGGGGAAAAUGGAAUGUCAGUCAGAAACUGGUUCGUACCAAUCAUCAUAAUUAUAAUCUAGUAGAAUUAAGCCAUAAUCAUUAAAAUUUCUUCUUUUCUCCUACCUUUGAUGGACUGUUUCAUCUGUUUCAUUAAAGUUGUAAUUUUUACAGA